AUAAAAGGGCUGCCACGCCGGCUGACGGGGCGCCUUCCUGAGCAAACAAGCUGUCUGUGUCUGGUUCCUUCCCGCAUCUGGUGACCCCGACGUGAUACCAGCCCUCCGUACCCACCGGCUGGCCAAGCCGUGGUGCACCUCAGUGCGUAGUCGCGCACUCCCUCUCGGCUGCCACAGGCAGCCGACCUGGACUGGAAUCUCUGAAAGAGACGCCGCAGGAGAUUCCAGGGUGUAAGAGAACAGCCCUCCCAAGAGCAGAAGCAUGUUGGAAAUUCUGGACGAGCUGUAUACAGGAUAAUCUCCCUUCCACCUCUCCCCCUCCUCUGAACAUUAUACACAGAAGUGGCCAGUCGGGACGUACCUGUGUAAGUAUAAAAGGAGCUUCGGGCUUGGGGCAUUAAUAUUUUCCUGAGUGAUGUGGGAGCGUUCCCAACACUCUCCAUUGUUGUUUUAUUAUUUUAUUACUGAAGCUUUAAAAUUCAGUCAUAUGGUGUGUUUUCUUUAUCUUCCCCCAGCGAUCCUGUAGUGUCAGCCUGAUCACCUGACACGAGGGAUAGAUUGGUAACAGAAAUUUGUCACAGUUUGGUGAGCAAUUAAGAAAGGGGGAGCACUGCAGAAUUUACACCAUCUAUUUGUUUUACCCUUGUUAUUUUGUGUUUGCUUUGCUUGGUACUGUUGGUGCUAUAUGUUGAGAAUUGCAUGAGUAAAAGUAUGCCUUAAUAGGAUAAGAAAAUGCUAUUUGGUUUUGGUUCUGUUCUGUUUAACCGGUUACUGUUGUUUUUCUGCUCUGUAUACAUUUGGGCGUUGGGAGUGUGGGCGGAACUGAACCUCUCGUUCGUAAUUCCUUGGAGUGGAAGCCAUGAGUGCGAGGAAGCUCUGAGGUUGAAUUGAGAUCCUUCUGUCCCGUCCCCUGUAGCGGACAGUGUAUAGAAGUGGGAAAGUCUGACUUAGACUGUAAUUCCCUCUGCGCUCUGUGUAAUUUCUUUUUUCUGUUUAAGUGUCAGCAGACGGAUGGGUGGACUCUAGGUAAACUCUCUAAAGGGGUUUGGAUUUUUGUCCAGGUGGCAAGCCUCAUGAAGGAGGACUCGGGUAGUCUUGUGAGUAAGAAGGUUUAAG